rnacentral:lncRNA from 1 species
AAUUAUCGUGGGAUUGCUGACGGUUGGAUAUAAAAUGCCAGCUCAGUAGCACGUCUAAAAUCAUAAACCCUAGCCGUCGUUCUUUCUCUGCCGAGAGAAAAUGGGCGGCUUUGCAGAGAUUGAAGAUGACGAUGAUGAUGGCAAAGAGAAGUUUGAUGAAAAGCAUGUGUUAAUUUCAGCUUUGAGGAGCUUCCACUUUCGACUGGCAAAGGAAUUGGGUACCAUUCAUUCUCCAUCCCUAUUAUUUUUUAUUUUCAUUUAUCAACUUCUACGCGUAUUGAUCAAGAUGCAACAUUUGAUGAUUCUUGUGAUUCCAAUUCAGUUUCCUUUUUUUUAGAGACGAUAAUGAUGCCCUAGCUUCCUUUAAUAAGGAUGCAUCCUCUGGAUUUUACUAUUGAAUUUAAUAGUUUUUUAUCUGCUAUCCGGAGGAUGAAACAACAUCACACUGUCAUUUCCUUGUCCAAAACAGUUGAGUCGCUAGGAAUCUCACCCGAUGUUUAUUCUCUUAGCAUCUUUGUUAGAAUCUUUGUUAAUUGCUUCACACUGUAAAUGUGGAAGGGAAAGCAAAGGUUGGUUUUGGGUUGCUGAGAAUGGUAGAGGGAUUUUUUGAGUCAUAAGCUUUGCACAACCUGCUUAAUUCAUGGUUUUUGCACUUUUGGCAAAUGGAAUGAAGCUUCAGCCUUGCUGAAAUAAUGAUGGAGCAGAACUUAUUGACUGGUAAGGAAUGGUUUCAAAGGUCCCUUACAAUUCAUUGAUGGACAGAUAUUGUCUACAAGAAAAAUUGAUCAAAGAAGGAUUACCAGAUGAAGCACAAGUUCUUUAGAGGAAUGGAAGAGCAUGGAUGUUUACCGAAUUAUUGCUGUUGUAAUGUCACUAUUCAAGGCUUUCUUAAGCAUGAUGAAAGCAAAAAACACCAAAAGUUAUUAAUGAAAUGUUUGGUGUGUGAUUCUCUACAGUUAUCACCACUUCAACAUUUUUAAGUAUUUUAUUGCACAUGAUCUCAUGAUGAUAAAAUUAGUAAAUCAUUCUGAUGGUUUUGAAGGUGUAAAGGUGAAGGGAGAUUUUAAAAAUCAAUGCUCGAUCAAAAUAUGUAAGCAUUUUUGUCCUGUUGGGCAUAUUUGUACUCAGAAUAUUAAUGUGUUUGAAAGAUGUGUAUAAUUACAUUGUCGCCAGCUAGUUUAGUUUGCUCUAUAGGAGAAAUUAUAUAGGAUUAGGACUUAACUCAUUUUUUUAUAUUGUACAUGCACAUUAGCAUUCGUGAUCUGUUUAGUGCUAUAUUAUCCUGAAAUAGUAAAGUACAUCUUUGAUAUUUGGGUUCUUCAUUUACAAUUUUGGCACUUAUACCUAUUUUUUGGGUAUCAAAUCAUUUGUUGUCAUGUAUGGAAAAGUUAGAAUGACUUGCAAUGAUUUUCUUAUUUCAUUGUCAUGACCCAAUUAGAACUUUUUCCCCUUGUUACUACAGCAUAUGAAUAAUGGAUGGCUGUUUGCCAAAUGAUUAUAGUCUUAAUGUGAUUAUUAAGGGCUUUCUGUGGCAUUUGCCAGUGGUUAGGUUGUAGAAGACUUGUUGUCUAGUAGUGCUAUGUUUGUGGAUAAGUAUUUAGAUUUGCUUAAGGUCAUUAAGGUGAAAAGUGGAAGUGAAUAUUUUAUUAUAUCUGCAUAUGAGAUUUAAUUAUGACUGCAUAAUUCAACCUGCUACUUGCUUUUGCUUGAUAGCGUUGCCCAGUAAUAAGAAAUCUUCCAAUUUAAGUGCAAAGUUCCUCUCUAAAAGUCACCUUAUGUUUAUUUUGAUCGGAUAUAGUGAUGAUGACAAUUCAACCUGCCACUUGCUUUUGCUUGAAAUGGAUACGCAUUAUUCAUAACAAAUUCUCCAACUUAGUUGCAAAGCUCUUGUGUAAAUGUUACCUCUACUAUAUUGUUACCCCUAUCAUGUUGGAUUCAAGGACCUGAUAUCUGAUUUCUGCAUCGAGCAUCUAUAACAACAUCAAUUGGACCUUUCUUAGCCUACUCUCAACUUUGUACAAUAGUAUGUAGAUGUGUUAUGUCCUUUGCGAUGUAGGCACUUUUAGCAGCUAUGAAUUCUACUUCCAAUUACCAUAAUCCACUUGACACGGUAGUGUCUUUAUACGAAGUAACUAUUUUUUUGUAGUGCUCUUUGCUUUGCAUCUUCUCAUGGUUGAAUUCAAGAUGAACAUCAGUAAGCAUUUCUACAAUUUGUAGAUUUUGACAGAAAUGUUCAUAAGUUAGUGCACUAUGAGUAGUCAGCUGGCCUCGCACCAGAUUUGUUGCAUGAUUGAAGUGCUUGCUGUCCUGUUGCUUGGCUGUUGUAUGCACACCAGAACAGUAGUAGUGGGCAUCAUUAGCUUUUGCUAAUGCUGGUAUUAAGCAGGUUUGCCAAAGAAGUGUGCAGGUUGCACCAUAAGUUACAACAUCAAGGUUUGUCUUCUGAAUAUGCUUUGUGUCAAGGUCAUAGAGUUUUGGGUAGUAAAAUGUAAUUUUUUCAACAAUGCCGUGUCUUGAAAGCAAUAUUGGGAAAAUUAAUAUAAAUUCAUACUUGCCGCGUCAGUUUCUUGUAAUUCCUUUUGAUUUAUUUAUUAAGGGGUGUCACCUCAAAUAUAUUGAUAUCUCCUUCUCUCACAAUUUUAUUUAAGAUAUUUUAAAGGCAUUUUGGGAGUAGUGAUUAGUUGACCACCAGUGAGGGUUAGGCCCAGCUGGCCACUGUAGGCUUGUUGAGUCCUUGGACUGUGCCUCCUCUUUUUGCAGGCGUUUUCUUGUCUGGAAGUUGAGAGAGGAUUGUUGUUAUGAUUGUGUAAUGACACUUUUGCUCCUAGAAUAAAAUAAGUAAUCCAUUCACUAAAUCUCUAUGUUUGGUUGCUUGUUGAUGUGCUUGUAUCGCAAGAAUUAUUUGAUCAUGAUAUUUUUGCUUGAUAAUUGUGAUUUUUUUUAUUUUUAUGAGAAUGGAGCAGGAGAUUCUAAUCUUGACACUGACCUUUCACUCAAUAAGUGUCGUACGGUUUCAGGCUGGUGUUAAAAAUGAGAACAAUCGGAGAAUAGUGUGGAAGUAUGAUGAAGUUUGCCAUACGCAUUAAUUCCUUUGAGAGAAGGGUUGAGAACUUUGUCGCCUUAUUGAGUGACGAUGCCAUCCAAGAGGGGAUGACAUUGGAGCGUUCGAGAAAGAAAAUGAAUGUUUGUUGGCUAUGAUAGUUAAAUCAUCUAGAGGUGAGGGUGAGCCAAUAGAGAUUGAGACCACUCAAAAUCCCUUCCAUGCAAAGGAUACUCGGUGAGGUGAUCUUGAGUCUAAGAUGAUGGAAUGGGAGGCAGUGGCCUGAUAUAAUGAAAAGUCUCAAAUUUGUUACUGAUGCUUAUAUCUCUUGAUAGGGGUUGUUGAAAAUGUUAGAGAUGGUGCUAAAGAGACCAUCGAUGCUGUCAAUAAUAGUGUCAAGGAGACGAUGGACACAUUCUAAGAUAAAUUAAAAAAGUCCAAUGCGAAGGUGAACACUCUUAUGAAGGCUAUAGAAAACAGUAGCAUGAAAACUUGUGGGGUAGAAAGAACGAAGGUCUUAGAAUCGAAAGCUUUCGGCGGAGUAAGGGAUGCAAAGGAAGUAGACAAUUUCCUUUCUGACGUGAAGUUGUUCUUUAAGUUUGCUAAACGAGAGUCCGAUGAGGAUAAGUUGAUGAUCAUACUCUUGUAUUUGGUUGAUGAUGCCAAAUUGUGUGGCAUACCAAAUAGUGAGAGCGUCGUUGGAUCAAAUCAAUAGUGAGAGUGCCGUUGGAUCAAAUCAAGUUACAUCGUGAGACACAUUCACUAAGGAGUUAACAUUCACUAAGGAGUUAAGAGCAUAAUUUUAUCUUGAGAAUGUUGCAUGUGAUGUACAGUGCAAGCUAGGAGAGCUACAACAAACAGGUUCUAUUCGGUUCUACUUGGGAUUACAUGAGGGAUAUUUUAUGUCUCAUGCUACACAUAACAAACAAACAUGGAAGAGGAGGAUCAGUUUUACAAUUUUAUGAAAGGGUUGAAAUCUUGUGCUAAAAAUGAAUUAAUGAGACGGAUGUUGAUACAACUAUAGCUGCAGCUGAGAGUUUGGAGGAUUAUUCCAACUAAAAGUUCAAUUCUCCCACGGGCAGGACACUCGCCCUAACAAGGGGGCAAAGGCACAAAGUGGGGAGCAAAUCAAUUUAAUUACAUUGCUAGUGGGCGAAGGCACAAAGUGGGGAGCAAAUCGAUUUAAUUACAUUGCUGGAGGAGUGGAAAGAAGGAACUAGAGUGGUAAAAUGAGCUCAAAACCUUAUUUCCAAGGAAGAGAACUGAGUUUUACGGGAUCACAGGUAGUAAAUUUUAAGGAUCAAGUUCGUUCUUAGUACCAAAACUUAAGGUAAAAUGCUUCUUAUGCUUUGGACCCCAUCAAAUAGUAGAUUAUGCUCAUAAAGGGGCGCUGAAUGCCCUACGAACUAUACAAGAAGAAAAGAAGGUGAACUAUACAAGAAGAAGAGAAGGGAAGUGAAGUGGAAGAACAAAGGGAAGUGGAUAAUGACCGAUCUAUGGUAAGGGCUCUACGUUUUCUGAGAGUUAUGGAAAAGUAAAGAUCCAACACAUCUUUUGAGAGAGGAUUAAUAUAUGCGAACUUGACUAUCAAUGGAAAGUCAGUAAGAGUCUUAGUUGAUACAGGAGCUCCAGACAAUUUUAUAGUUGAUUCGAUGGCUCCUCGUUUCAAAUUGAAAAUCCAAACGGACAAGAGAAAGAUAAAAGCAGUUAAUUCCAAGACACUAAAUAUGGUGGGAGUGGCUCAACCAGUAGCUUGUGAAAUGGGACCUUGGAAAGAAAAUGUGAACUUCAUGAUAACACCUUUUAAUGACUUUGAUGUAGUAAUUGGAAUGAAAUUUCUUAAGACGGCACGAGCAGUGUCGAUUCUUUCGGCAAAUUGUCUCUUCCUUAUGGGGGACAGACCAUGCGUGGUACCUACCACUUUUAGCCCGAUUUGUGUGAAAAAGUUAAUUUCAGCUUCACAGUUUAAGAAGGGAGUGAGGCAUAAGGAGUCGACAAUCGUUGUGGUUCCAAUUAUGAAGGAAGAGGGGAGAUGUCGAUAUACCCUCUUGAGAUUAAGGAUGUGAUGUUGAAAUACAAGAAUGUGAUGUUGAAAUACAAGAAUGUUAUGCCAGAGAAGUUACUGUCUGUUUUGCCACCUCGUCGAGUAUUGAUCACGAAAUAGAGUUGUUACCAAGUACAAAGGAUUCAAUAAAAGUGCCUUUUUGGAUGGCAUCCUCAGAACUGGCGGAAUUGAGAAAAUAGUUGGAUGAGUUACUAGAUGCUGAGUUUAUACGAUUAGCCAAAGUGCCAUUUGAAGUUUCGGUGCUUUUUCAAAAAAAAAACAAGAUGGAAGCCUAAGGUUGUGUGUGGAUUAUCGGGCUCUAAAUAAGGUGACAAUGCGUAAUAAAUAUCCUAUGCCCUUGAUAACAGAUUUGUUCGACCAAUUGGGUCAGGUAAAGUUCUAUACCAAGCUGGAUCUUCGAUCAGGGUACCAUUAGAUUCAAAUCAAAGAGGGGACGAGUAGAAAACAACAUGUCACACUGUAUAAUGCUUUUGAGUUCCUAGUUAUGUCUUUUGGACUAAUAAACACUCAUGCUACUUUUUGCAUUUUGAUGAAUCGAGUUUUUUAUGAGUAUCUUGAUAAUUUUGUGGUGGUCUAUUUUGAUGAUAUUGUGGUAUAUAGUUUUUCGUUGAAGGAAAAUAGAGAAUACCUUAGUUUGGUAUUUAAAAAAUAGGGAGAACAAACUCUUUGUAAAGAAAGAGAAAUGUGCUUUUACUCAAACCAGAAUUAAGUUCUUCGGUCUUAUAGUUGAGCAUGGAAAAAUAAGCAUGGAUCAGAGUAAGGUAAAAGUGAUUCAAGAUUGGUAGGUACUCGGGAGUAUGACAGAGUUUGAAAUCCUUUUUGGGAUUGACAAACUAUUAUAGGCGAUUUGUGAGGGCAUACUUUCAAUUUGAACACCUUCAAAUCAAGUCAGCUUUUAGGAUCAUCCAAUAUUUUAUGAAUAUGAACAACUUAAUAAUUCCAGCUUAUAUAAGCGAACAAUGAAGACAGUAUGUCGCAUUCAAUCAGAAGCCUCACCAUAUACUCGAUAGAUAAGAACUGAAUAUAAGAACUCAUGAAUAGACUAUUUAUUUUAUUCUAGAGACAAAAUAAUAAUUAUACAUUAUCAUCGACUCGAUUAUUAUAAUAAUUCUCACCUCUCUUGUAGACAGAGGGGACGGUCUACAAGAAGUGAAGUGGGCUCGGCCUUCGCUGGUGGCCAAUUAGCCACUCCCCUUUAUAAAAUCUUAGAAACAAUUAGGCUUGUGAUAGGAGAAGAUAUCAACAUGUCUCAUAUGAUACGCAAAAUAAAUACAUGAAAAGAAAUUAUAACGAAUUGUUUUGACUCUUAUCUUCCUACUAAUUCCUACUAAUUUCUACUAAUUUCUUCUAAUAUUCACGGUUUCAGAUUUUGACAUUGGUCUAGAACUGUGCAACACUUGAUUUGAACUCUUUUCAAACAAAGUCAUUUAAGCACUCUAUGCAUUCACCCGGACAAAAGAACGUUAAGGUUAAGAUCUUUUGCUCCAUUCUCAUAAAAAUGAUAAAAAGUCACAGUUAUCAAGUAAAAAUAUCAUGAUAAGAUAAUCCUAGCGAUACAAGCAUAUCAAUAAGCAACUAAGUAUAGAGAUUUAGUGAAUGAACUAUUUAUUUUAUUUUAAGGGCAAAACAGUCAUUACACAAUCAUAGUAACGAUCCUCUCAACUUCCAGAUAAGAGGGAACGUCCACAAGAAGAGACAAUCUAGAAACUCAACAAGCUUAUGGUGGCCAAUUGGGCCCAACCCUCGCUGGUGGCCAAGUAAUCACUCCUUCCCUAAAGAGCUUUAAGAAUAAGAACUGUGGUAAGAGGAGACAUCAAUAUGUCUGAGCUAACACUUCCUAAUAAAUAAAUAAAAAAGAAUUACAAGAAACUGACGUGACCUUUUACUUAUGAAUUUAUACUAAUUUUUUCAACAUUUUUCAUGACACGGCAUUAUUUGAAAAAUUAUAUUUUAGUACCUCAAAGCUGUAUAUCUUAACACUUUCUCACUUAAAUGGUCUACGUUCUCGUUGAUUGAGCGUUGAUAAAGUCCGCAAUUUUAUGUGUAUAUGCCUAUAGACUUGACUCUUUCUCCCAACUGGUUUCUUCAACAUUAAGGCUGUUCCACUUGACAAGAUACUCUUUGUGUGGUGGACCUUUAAUGGUCUUAACAACUUGUUUGGCUAAUAUCUUUUCGACUCCUUGAUUGACAGAUGGUGUUUGGGUUACUGCUGGUUGUGAUGUCUUGUUACGACUUGCAUCUGAUUCAUCGACAUAAUAUGGCUUUAAUUUGCUGACAUGAAAUACUGGAUGAACCUUCAUCCACUUUAGAGGUUCAAUUUUGUAGACGGCUGGUCCAAUCUUGGCGACCACCGGUACUGAUCCUUUAUACUUUCAGACUAAUUUCUUGUCACUAUUGCGGAAGAAUCUCAGCUGCGCUGACAACAGCUUUACCAUUACCAAGUUACCAACUGUGAACUCCUGCGGGGAUUAGUUCUCAUCUGCCCAUUUCUUUAUAUGACUAGUAGCUUUCUUCAAUUAAGCGCUAGCAAGUCUAUAUUUUGUCUCCACUCCUUAUUGAGCUGGUAUACUUUCGGAUUGCGGCUGAAAUAAGGCCCAUUUAUGUUAUAAGGUGUCAAUGGUUGUUGACCUGUCACAAUCUCAAAAGAACUUUUGUUAGUAGUAGAGCUCUGUAAAGAAUCAAAACAAAAUUGAGCUACAUCAAGGAGGAAAAUCUAAUUCUUCUGGCUGGCACUAAUAAAGUGCCGCAUGUAUUCCUUCAAUAUUUCAUUAACUCUCUCCGUUUGUCCAUCUGUCUGAGGACGGUAACUUGAGGAUAUCGCUAAGUUAGUGCCCAACAGCUUGAACAGCUUUGACCAAAAUGACUCCGUGAAUCUUGCAUCACGGUCACUAACUAUGCUCAUUGGGAUCCCCUAGUAUUUUAUGAUAUACUUGAAAAAUGCUUUAGCAAUUUCCUUUGCCAAAUAAUAUUUUGACAUCGAUAAGAAUGUGACAUUUGAAAAAUUUGUCGAUGACCACCAAAAUGUGAUCAAAUUCCCCUACUCGUGGGAGUCCUGAUUUUAGGGAGUCUUGCAAUAAAAUCAAGAGAAACACUUUUCCAUGGCCUACUCGCAUUGGUAAUGGAUGUAACAACCCCGCUGUUUAUGUCUGUCUGGUUUAUCCUGUUGACAAACCAAACGAGUCUUUGUUUACUCUUGCACAUCUUUUGCCCUCUUUAGCUAAAAGUAACCCUUGCUUUAGAAGUGUUAAAGUACGCUGCCACACUGAAUGACUAGUCCACAGUGUCAUGACACUCUUUCAAUAAUAGGCCCCUGCUUUGGGAACAUAGACUCUGCUCCCUCGUUUGUCAUGAUCAAGUUUGCUUCUAUGAAAAAUUGCAUAGUUUUUUUGUCGUUCACUAUUUUUUUAAAUGUCAUUGCUUGGGAUCCUUUUGUAACUCUUCCCGAAUCCUUCCACUUGAUAAACAAGGAUACAAAGACUUAUUUGGUUUGUCAACAGGAUAAACCUGACAGACAGAAACCAGCAAGGUUGUUACAUCCAUUAUUAGUGCGAGUAGGCUAUGGGAAAGUGUUUUUCUUGAUUUUAUUGCAGUACUCCUACGAGUAGAUCACAUCUUGAUUUUAUUGCAGGAUUCCUACAAGUAGAUCACAUUUUGGUGGUCGUUGAUAGAUUUUUCAAAUAUGCCAGUUCAUGUCGAUGUCAAAAUAUUAUUUGGUAGAGGAAAUUGCUAAAGCAUUUUUCAAGUGUCAUAAAAUACUAAGGGAUUCUAAGGAGCAUAGUUAGUGACUAUGAUGCAAGAUUCACAUGGUCAUUUUGGUCAGAGCUGUUCAAGCUGUUGGGCACCAACUUGGCGAUGUCCUUAAGUUACCAUCCUCAGACGGAUGAACAAACGGAGAGAGUUAAUGGAAUGUUGAAGGAGUACCUGUGGUACUUUAUUAGUGCCGGCUAGAAGAAUUAGAUUUGCCUCUUUGAUGUAGCUCAAUUUUAUUUUAAUUCUUUACAGAGCUCUGCUAUUAACAAAAGUCCUUUUGAGAUUGUGACAUGUCAACAACUAUUGACACCUUAUAACAUAGAUGGGUCUUAUUCGGGCUGCAAUCCGAAAGUAUACCAGUUCAGUAAGGAGUGGAGACAACAUGUAGAGUUUGCCUGUGCUCAGUUGGAGAAAGUUACUAGUCAUAUGAAGAAAUAGACAGAUGAGAAUCGGCUCCCAUAGGAGUUCACAAUUGGUGAUGGUGAAGCUGUUUCUAGAGUAGUUGAGGUUCCUCCGUAACCAUGAUAAGAUAUUAGUACGAAGGACCAGUACCAGUGGUCGCCAAGAUUGGAUCACUCGCCUACAGAAUCAAACCUCCAAAGUGGAUGACAGUUCACCCAGUAUUUCAUGGCAGCAAAUUGAAGUCAUAUAAUGCCGAUGAGUCAGAUGCAAGCCGUAAUAAGACGUCACGACCAACAGUAAUCCGAGUAUCACCUGUUAAUCAACGAGUCGAAGAGAACUUAGCCGAACGAGUUGUCAAGACCACUAAGGGUCAUCACUCAAAGAAUACCUUGUCAAGUGGAACGACCUUGGUGUUAAAGAAACCAGUUGGGAGAAUGAGUCAAGUCUAUAAGCAUAUACACAUAAGACUGUGGAGUUCAUCAAUGCUCAGUUGAUGAGGACGUCGACCAUUUAAGUGGGAGAGUAUCAAGGUCAUAGAGUUUUGGGUACUAAAAUAUAAUUUUUUUCAACAAUGCCGUUUUCUAAAAGUAAUGUUGGAAGAAAUCAGUAUAAAUUCAUAGCAAGUAAAGAGUCGCAUCAGUUUCUCAUAAUUCAUUUUUAUUUAUUUAUUAAGGAGGGGUGUCACCUCAGACAUAUUGAUGUGUCUUCUUACCAUAGUUUUACUUGUUCUUAAGGCUUUUUAGAGGGGAGUGACUAGUUGGCCACCAGCGAGAGCUGGAUCUAGCUGGCCACCGUAGGUUUGUUGAGUCCUUGGAUUGUGUCUCCUCUUCUUGCAUGCAUUCCCUCUGUCCGAAAGUUGAGAGAGGAUCGUUACUAUGAUUGUGUAAUGACUGUUUGCUCCUGGAAUAAAAUAAAUAGCCCACUCACUAAAUCUUUAUGCUUUGUUGUUUGUUGAUGUGCAUGUAUCGCUAGAAUUAUCUCAUCAUGAUAUUUUUGCUUGAUAACUGUAACUUUUUUCCAUUUUUAUGAGAAUAGGGUAGGAGGUCCUAAUCUUAGACGUUCUUUUGUUGAGGUCAAUGCGUAGAGUGCUUGGUUGAGUUGGCUUGAAAAGAGUUCAAAUCAAGUACCGCACGGUUUCAGGUCAGUGUCAAACUCUGAAAUCUUGACACGAAUCAAAUCGGUUUUAUUCAAAUCGAUUUGAUUGAUUGGAUAUUUUAAUGGAUUUUUUAUUUUUAUACUUUAUUUUAAGUCUUUUAAGAUUUAAUUGAAGUAAUUUUAAUUUUAAUUAUAAUAUAAUCUUUCUAUAUUAUAAAAAAUUAAUAUACUAUUGCUAAUAAUUCAUUCGGUUUGGUUUUAUCGAGUAUUUUUUAUUAAAAUUAAAUAAAUAACUAAAAUUUUUAAAUUAAUUUAGUUCAAUUGAUAUUUUAUUUUAAUCGAAUAUUGUUGACUUUCAAAUGCAUCUCAUAAUUUAUAAUUUGGUCCUAGAAACACCGCAGAAGACCAAGUAAGCUCAUUUGUUAUUUGCAUAAAAUUUAACUGAUCUGAACCUUAGUGACCCAAAAUAGUUAAAAGGUUGAAUUAAUUAUGAACUCGGUGUUCUGAAUGCUUCAAUCUGAAAUUGAUUCAUUUUGGAUUGAUCUCUUACUUGGAAUUUGAAGCGCCAAUCUGGAUCUGCGGAAAACAUACAAGUUAUUCCAUCAAUUGCUCAUCUCUUAAGUUAUUGUUAUUGAUUUUAUGUGUAGGAAAUGGCGGAGAGCCUGUAUUAUCAAACAUAUUUCGAUAUUAAUUUGUUUGGGGGCUUGUUAAUUAGAAUUAGGUUGAGAUUUGAUUAGAUUAUUGUAUAAAAUAAUACAUUAAUAAUUAUUAUUUAACAUAAAAGCAUAAUUAAGUUAUAUGAGUUGUAGUAAUAAAAUCAAUAAUAAAGCUAAUGCCAAGCAUUAUAAUACUAAUGGAAUCACAUUUGUAAUUUAAAUUUACAGUUUUUUUUUUAAUUUUAAUAGAAAUAAUUUUAUAUCAUAAAUAAAAGGUUUUAAAUAAAAAAAUUCUAAAUAAUUUAAAUUUAUAUUCAAAAUUUUAAAUUUUGGACAAUAAAUUCAAUCUUUUUCAAUUUGUUAAAGUUAUAGUUUAAAGAAUUAUAUUGAAUUUAUAUAAAUUAACGGUAAAUUACAAUUUAGUCUCUAUAAUUCUAUUUGAAUUGUUAGUAUGAUUAUAGGAAAUCAAUCUUUACAUGGUUAUAUGAGAUUUAUUUAGCAUAAUUAUAGUGAUUAUUAUUUUUGUCAUAAUUAGCUCAUACUUUUCUGUUGUGUAUAUAGAUGUAAUAUCUCUGUAAAAUAUAUACAAUAGAAAUAUACAAUUUUCUCAUUAUUAUUUGUACUCUUUCUGCUAAUAUGGUAUAAGAGUCGUAAGAUUUCGAUUUCUAGUUUCUGGGGUCUCUUCUCUCUUUGCAAUUCUGAUUAGUUUUCCAUUAAGCCACCUAACUCUGUCCGUAUUUCACACACUGUUCAUCUCUGUUCCUUUGAAAUCAAGGAACAAAUGGAGAAAUUUGACAUUUGAAAACCUAUUGCAACGCUUCUAACUGACUCCAAUUAUAAUAUCUAGGUUCAAUCCAAUUAUAAUAUCUAGGUUCAAGGUAUGAAAUAUACAAUUUUCUCUUUAUUAUUUGUACUCUUUCUGCUAAUAUGGUAUAAGAGUCGUAAGAUUUCGAUUUCUAGUUUCUGGGGUCUCUUCUCUCUUUGCAAUUCUGAUUAAUUUUCCAUUAAGCCACCUAACUCUGUCCGUAUUUCACACACUGUUCAUCUCUGUUCCUUUGAAAUCAAGGAACAAAUGGAGAAAUCUUACAUUUUAAAACCUAUUGCAAAGCUUCUAACUGACUCCAAUUAUAAUAUCUAGGUUCAAGGUAUGAAAGGUUUUUUGAUAGGUCGCAAACUUUGGUGUAUUGUCACUGGCGAACUGUUGUCCAACGUUCUUGUUCUCACACCUCUCAGCAUAAUGGGUGAGCCGAAUGCAAGCAUCGCCAUAUUCUUGAUUCUGUGAUUCUGAUAUCAGCUCACCCCACCUGCUCUUGUUGAACGUGCACCAGUUGUUGAUUCUGUACUUGUGCCUGCAUCUCCUCCUCCUACUACUCUCCGUCGUUCUACACCCACCUACUCCUGUUGAACCUGCACCGGUUGUUAAUUCUGUACCUGUGCCUGCAUCUCCUCUUACCACUACUCUCCGUUGUUCUACUCGGUUAGUCAGUUUAUGUCUGCUCCUCGUUCAAUUCAUUUCUCUGCAGUGCUUCGAAUCCUUCCUUCCUUAUAUCAAAGAAACUCUUUUUCAUGGUUUACUUUUCUCUGCUACCUCCUCGGUAUUAUCUAGCUACUCUGACGCUAAUUGGACUGGUGAUCUGACUGAUCGUCGUUCUACAACUGAUUAUUUCUUCUUGGGAGAUUCUGGAUAUCGUGCUAUUGUUGAUGCUACAUUUGAGCUACAUUUGAACUACUUUAGUUACGGUGGCUAUUAAUUAAUAUGGGGUCACUCACUCUUCUGCCACCAUACUUCAUUGUGACAAUAUAAGUGCCAUACAAAUUUCUCAUAAUGAUGUCUUUCAUGAGUACCAAACACAUCAAAAUUGAUUGUCAUUUUGUACGUCAUCAUGUUGCUCACGGCACCAUAUGUUUGAUUCCUGUCUCUUAUGCUAGCCAAACUGUGGAUAUUUUCGCCAAACUGCGUAUAUUUUCACUUGGCACCUACGCUACCACAUUGAGUUUGAGGGGAUGUUAGCAUGAUUAUAGGAAAUCAAAUCUUUGCAUGAUUAUAGGAGAUUUGUUUAGCAUAAUUAUAGCGAUUAUUAUCAUAAUUAGCUCAUACUCUUCUGUAUAUAUAUAUAUAUAUAUAUAUAUAUAUAUAUAUAUAUAUAUAUAGAUGUAAUAUUUCUGUAAAAUAUAUAUAGUAGAAAUACACAAUUUUUUCAUUAUUAUCUGUACUCUUUCUGCUAAUAUGAAUAAUAAAAUAAUUUUUAAAUACAUAUUUUUAUUAUAAUAAUGUUAUUUUUUAUUAAUUCCAUUAUUCACUUUUUAUUUAGAAUAUUAUUAUAUUAUUAAUAAGAAGUAAAGUUUUCCAAAUAUAUAGAAUAUAUAUAUAAUUUAUAAUAUUAAGUAUAAACAUUCAGUGAAAUAUUUUAUUCUAUAUUAUUCAUAUGUGAUAGUUUAUAGAAUAGAAUUUUUUUAAUAAAUAUUUAUUCAAUAUAAUAUUUUAAUAUUACAUAUAAUAUAUUUAAUUUUAAUAUAAAAUUUAAAUUAAAAAAUUAUAUAUUUUAUUAAUAAUAUAAAAUUUUAGAGAUUAUAUUAUAAUUUACUGUUAAUUUGUAUAAAUUUAAUUUAAUUUUUUUGAUUAUAAUUGUGACAAAUUGAAAAGUUUAAUUUUAUCUGUUGAAUAUAAAUGUGAAUUAUUAUAAACGUUUAGAUUUUUUUAUUCUAUGUUUUUAAAUAAAAUUAAUAUUAAAUUUAUCGAACAUAUCUAUUAUUUAAUAGAUUUGUAUUGGAGAAGUCCAUUAUUUAAUAGAUAUUAUUAUAAGAGGAAUCGCUUUGAUUCAUUGUACCAGCGUGAGUUUUGCUUCCAAAUCUGCGCUGGAAUUUUCUCGAGGAGCCAUUUUUUCCCUCAAAAGGUAUGGUAUGGCAAAUUUUUAUUUGUAAAUUGAAGUACAUAAAGGUGAAUGGUCCAAAAUGUUGUGGAGAAUUUCAGUUUUAUUUUUUUUUUGUGGACCACAUUUAUAUAUUUGUUUAAUGAUUUCUAUUAUUAGGAUUCAAACUGUAAUUCAGUAUGCCCCAUGAGAAAGUGGACCUUCUGAAUAAUCUCAAAUAUUAACUAUAUUUUGAUGUCUGGUUGUAAUCCUAUAUUUGGAUAUACAUCAUGCCAUGCUAGACCUUAUUACAGUUUCCUGUUAGAACUGAUCUACUCUCUGGUCUUUAUAUUUCCUAAUGUGAAAAUUGAUUAUUCAUCCAUAUAAUUGUAGUGUGAAGUCUCUUCUCAAGUUAAAACAAGAUAAGAAUCAAACACUUGUACAUUCUGUUUACCAUAAUGCAUUGUCCUACCCAUCUUAUCAUCUUUGUUUAUAACUAUGGAGUAAGAACUUGGCUGUAGUAAAUGAGAUGAAUUGCUAAGAUUACUUCACCCAUAGCCUUCAACUUGUCUCUCAAAGUUAAGUGUGGUAUGCAAACCAAAAAACAGUUUACAUUCAGAUUUAGUUUGAAUAGGGUCAUUGUGGGAUAUCUCGGUCAACAGUUAGCAGAAUUCUGACAAGGCAUCUCUCUGACAAUCUGCCUAAUGCACAAAUUGGAAGAGGAGAAAAGAGAGUUUUGGGGGAAUGAUCCGUUUUUGCAUCUCUCGAAUUUAGGAUAGUUGUUAUUAGAUUGCAUAUAGUAAAACAUUAAAGAAUAUUGGGCUAUUUUUCCAGGAAUAUAAUUUCCCAAGGUACCUGUAUUUUGGAAAGGGACAGUAAUAAUAUAUGACUCUGUCAUACAAACAAAUUGUAUUAAUCUCUUUCCUUUGAUAGUUGAUUAUCAUGGUGUUUUGACUUCAUUUCAAACAUUAAUUGGUCAGCCUUUUAGUGUGCUUGACAUUUGUUUUUUUUCCCCUUCAAACUUCCAGGUGAGCUUGGGCAAGAAAGCAAAUCUGAUAUUUCUUUUCUUCCUGCUAUGGAAGCUUAUCCUACCUUUUUAUUCUUUCACUCUCUUCUGCAUCACCCUACCGCUUAGCUGUUUCUCAACCGCUUGAAAAACCAUGAUCAUCGUCGCCAAUGAAAAGAAAUUGAAAAGAAGCUCUCCUACACAGUAAUUAAAUCUAUGCGAAACACUUGAAAAACAGUGGAGCCGCCAACAACUAAGAGAAGGAACGCUCAGCUUUCCAAUGCUGAAGAGGUGCCACUCUUCCACCAAAAGAAUAUGCAUGUCAAAUUUGAGAGUAGCUGAGAAAGACCAAAGGCUAGAGAAAGGGAGUCCAGACCUCCACAGCGAGUCAAAAUUCCCACCGUUAGAGCCAUACUUUCACUUUCUUUCUUUUUCUAGAUUUCUUCUUGUGAUUUUAACUAGCAAAGUUUUAAUUAUAGCUAAUAAGAUUUAAAAUAUAAUUAAUAAAAUUUUAGAGUAUAUUCAACAAUAAAUGAUAUUAUUUUUUCAUAUAUAUUUUUUUAAAAAU